rnacentral:lncRNA from 1 species
GUGGUAUUGUUAAGAGGAUACAGGGAUGACUAAAUAGAUCAUCAUUUUGAGCUGCCUAUGACACAUUCGUGUAGACAGUGGUGUAGGUAGGUGUGUGUUAGAGCUUAGAAGAGAAAUGUGGGCUAGCACAGGGGAAAGGUGAAUGGCAGGGGCGAGAAUACAGUUACUAAGGAGAAUGUAUUUAGUGAGAGGAAAGAUGAGGCCAGAAUCUUGACAGGACUGUUCACAUGGAAAGGGGUGGAUAUGGUAGGUAAGAGCCACCCACAAGGAAGGCUGAGGAAUGAUUGGAAAGGCAGAGAACCAUUAUGCAAUGUUGCUGGGAAAGUAAACAGGAAAUGUGUUGUCGAUCUCAUGAUCCAGGGCUGGGAAAGAGCCUCUCUUGCUCAGAAACAAUGUAGAUCCAGCAGAGGGGUGGAGGAUGAACCCGGAGCACAGGAGGGAACACACAGUACUAACAGAGGCCAUGGAGGAACACUCUGGAAACACCCAGGAGGGGAAGAGCAGAGGGUGAAUACUGGAAUGAAAGGAACACAGAGGCAGAGUGUGUGCUCGUGUAUGUGGAAAGGAGGACACAGUUCGGUGCACUCAGGAAUCCCGGAAGGAACCAUGGCCCAGUCAAUGUCUCCCCCUAAAUCGCUAUGCAGAACUGAACGUGACAGCUCUUGCUCUUAGUCCGCCCGAGCUGGGAUAUGCUCUAUUCAGUGGUGGCAGACCUGUGGUGCUCAGGACACAAGAACUGCGUAGAGCCCUCCCUGUCGACACACGAGCCAAGUCACCCAGGAGCUGAACACCAGACACCCGGAUUUGAUUGCAGGAUUAGCACUAUGAAAGAGAUGAGUGGGUUUUGGGCUGCAGUUUGAGCACUCGGGCUCUAGAAGGUUUUUCAUCAGUGCUCUGCACCACUGAUGAACAGACGCCUUCCACAGAUUUCUGAUGCCCCUCCAACUAAUGCCCUCUGUUCUUUCUUUAGAAGCUCCCAGAUGCAGCUCACAGGACUUUAAGUAUGGACUCAUUGUUUCUAGGGUAUUCUAUUGCUUUCUUAUCUUUGCUCCUCCCAGUUGAGCUAUGCACUAACCAAGAGUCAAUUGCAUUUGUUCCCAAACCUGUUUCCAAUCUCAUUCUUUACUAGAAUCAUAUACCAUAGUGCCUGUUGUGUAAAGCAGUGACAUGUAAAUGUGUAAAGUGAGCUGCGCCCAUGAAAACAGUUGCUUUGCAAAGCCUGGAUAGAAGCAAAGUGCUACACAGAAUAAAGCUGCAAUCAGUUUAAGUACAGGCAAGAAAAAUGUAAAAGAUUGAAAGCAUCAUAAAAGUUUAGAUUUGAAAACAUCUUCAAAUUCUUCCUCUACCAGAAUGAACCAGGACUAGAAAUGGUAGAAACACUGUAAACACUUAGACCCCUAAUCAGAGUGAUCUUGGUUUUUCCUCAAAAGACUGGCAAAGAAAUGCACCUUCAAAUGUUUUCAGUUCAGAUAAAAUGCUUAGAUGUGUAGAUAUCAUUUUUAUGAUUCUCUGUUUCAAUUAACUUUUUAAUUUGCCAACUCCCAGUCCUGAUCACAUGGACUGAUCCUGCGACAGUGUUUUACUGUAAUGUCUUCCAAGUUCACUAGGAGGGAAAACGUGGACGGAGGAGGGUUACGUAAACAUCACACGAGGGAACGUGCUGGACGAGGAGGAGAGGCUCGGGCCAAGAUCUGACCAGCUUACACCGGAAAUGCCUCCGUGAGAAGAAGAGCAAAGAGGCACGGGUUAGCCGGAACAGGAGAGGCAACUCCGGGAAGGUGGGUAGAGAUGAGAGAGCCAGGCAGGUCAGUCUGAGUCAGAGGUCAGGAGUCAUGCAAUCAGCAAGCAGCGUGGAGGUGACCACUGACCCCAGGAAGGAGGCUUCCUGCUUCCAACCCCAUUUUAUGCCACAAACAGGGCCUGAAAAACUGUGGGCUUCAAGCUGCUACUCAGAGGCAAAGUAUGCA